rnacentral:rRNA from 1 species
GAUGAACGCUGGCGGCGUGCCUAAUACAUGCAAGUCGAGCGAAUGGAUUAAGAGCUUGCUCUUAUGAAGUUAGCGGCGGACGGGUGAGUAACACGUGGGUAACCUGCCCAUAAGACUGGGAUAACUCCGUGAAACCGGUGCUAAUACCGGAUAACAUUUUGAACCGCAUGGUUCGAAUUUGAAAGGCGGCUUCGGCUGUCACUUAUGGAUGGACCCGCUUCGCAUUAGCUAGUUGGUGAGGUAACGGCUCACCAAGGCAACGAUGCGUAGCCGACCUGAGAGGGUGAUCGGCCACACUGGGACUGAGACACGGCCCAGACUCCUACGGGAGGCAGCAGUAGGGAAUCUUCCGCAAUGGACGAAAGUCUGACGGAGCAACGCAGCGUGAGUGAUGAAGGCUUUCGGGUCGUAAAACUCUGUUGUUAGGGAAGAACAAGUGCUAGUUGAAUAAGCUGGCACCUUGACGGUACCUAACCAGAAAGCCACGGCUAACUACGUGCCAGCAGCCGCCGUAA